rnacentral:rRNA from 1 species
UACGUAGGUGGCAAGCGUUGUCCGGAAUCACUGGGCGUAAAGCGCGCGCAGGCGGCGAUCUACGUCUGGGGUGAAAGCCCGGAGCUCAACUCCGGGACUGCCUUGGAUACGGGAUCGCUUGAGGAUUGGAGAGGCAAGGGGAAUUCCACGUGUAGCGGUGAAAUGCGUAGAGAUGUGGAGGAACACCUGUGGCGAAGGCGCCUUGCUGGCCAACUACUGACGCUGAGGCGCGAAAGCGUGGGGAGCAAACAGG